UACGUAGGGUGCGAGCGAUAAUCGGCCUUACUGGGCGUAAAGCGUGCGCAGGCGGUUUGGUAAGACAGAUGUGAAAUUACCGGGCUUAACCUGGGAACUGCAUUUGUGACUGCCAGGCUAGAGUGCGGUAGAGGGGAGUUGAAUUCCGCGUGUAGCAGUGAAAUGCGUAGAUAUGAGGAGGAACACCGUUGGCGAAGGCAACUCCCUGGGUCUGCACUGACGCUCAUGCACGAAAGCGUGUGAAGCAAAUAGG
rnacentral:rRNA from 1 species